rnacentral:rRNA from 1 species
UACGAGGGGGGCGAGCGUUGUUCGGAAUUAUUGGGCGUAAAGGGCGCGUAGGCGGUCGGAUAAGUCUUGUGUGAAAUCUUCGGGCUCAACUCGAAGUCUGCACAGGAAACUAUCUGGCUUGAGUGUGGGAGAGGUGAGUGGAAUUCCUGGUGUAGCGGUGAAAUGCGUAGAUAUCAGGAGGAACACCGGUGGCGAAGGCGGUUCUCUGGGCAUGACCUGACGCUGAGGAGCGAAAGUGUGGGGAGCGAACAGG